rnacentral:rRNA from 1 species
GAUGAACGCUGGCGGCGUGCCUAAUACAUGCAAGUCGAACGCUUCACUUCGGUGAAGAGUGGCGAACGGGUGAGUAAUACAUAAGUAACCUGGCAUCUACAGGGGGGAUAACUGAUGGAAACGUCAGCUAAGACCGCAUAGGUGUAGAGAUCGCAUGAACUCUAUAUGAAAAGUGCUACGGGACUGGUAGAUGAUGGACUUAUGGCGCAUUAGCUAGUUGGUAGGGUAACGGCCUACCAAGGCGACGAUGCGUAGCCGACCUGAGAGGGUGACCGGCCACACUGGGACUGAGACACGGCCCAGACUCCUACGGGAGGCAGCAGUAGGGAAUUUUCGGCAAUGGGGGAAACCCUGACCGAGCAACGCCGCGUGAAGGAAGAAGUAAUUCGUUAUGUAAACUUCUGUCAUAGAGGAAGAACGGUGGAUAUAGGGAAUGAUAUCCAAGUGACGGUACUCUAUAAGAAAGCCACGGCUAACUACGUGCCAGCAGCCGC